rnacentral:sRNA from 1 species
GAACAGCGGAGCCGGACGGGGAUCGCCGGCGGGCGGCAAGCGGAGGCGGCCCAGGCCCGGCGGUCUCCGAGAUGUCACGAUGGCUGUGGCCAUGGUCAAACUGUGUGAAAGAGCGGGUCUGCCGCUACUUGCUGCACCACUACUUAGGUCACUUCUUCCAAGAGCACCUCAGCCUGGACCAGCUCAGCCUCGAUCUGUACAAGGGCAGCGUUGCCCUGCGAGACAUCCACCUGGAAAUCUGGGUGAGGAGCCAGGCCCGAGUCCAGGAAGUCUGUGAACGAGGUGCUGGAGUCGAUGGAGUCACCGCUGGAGCUGGUGGAAGGCUUCGUGGGCUCCAUCGAGGUGGCCGUGCCCUGGGCUGCUCUGCUCACCGACCACUGCACAGUGCGCGUGUCCGGCCUCCAGCUCACCUUGCAGCCCCGCCGGGGUCCAGGUGAGGGCAGGGCGAGGCUGGGGGCGGGCAAGUGGGGAGAGUGGGCCGGGGCGUCCAGGACCUGACUGGGCCUGCCUGCCUUGAGACCCUGUUUCUCCCUACAGCGCCAGGGGCUGCCGACUCACAGAGCUGGGCCUCAUGC